AGUUUAUUCUUGUGGGCUUGGGUGUAGCAGCACUCUUCAUCAUUGUUGUAACGUUCAUCAGAUGGAAGAGAACUAAAGAAAACAAUCCACAGAUGAGUAAAAACACAGUUGAGCCUGAAACUGCUGUUAACUAUGCCACCAUCAGCUUCACAAAGAAAACUGCCAGUAAAGCCCAGGUUCUGGGUAGAAAUGAUAAUGAAGAAGAUGACAAAGUGACCUACAGCAUCGUGAAGGCUCCCUCCUCUUCUUCUGUGGGAGACCCCAGUGAUCUCUAUGCUAAGAUCAAGUAAUGAAGGAAAUGAGAAAAAUAUC